AUUUAUAUUAAUUGUUUUAAUAAAUGUUUAGACUUCUGGUAUAAUUUUUCCGUCGUUUUAGUCCAUUAAACGAUUCCCGAGGAAUAAUUAAAUUAAUGCCGAUUUGGUAUUAAUUUGGAUGUUGAUAUUAAUAUUUAAAUAGCAUUAAAAUUCGAACAUUUUAACAUUGAUAUAAACGUCAAAUUUGAUUUUAUUUCAACCGUCAAAAUGAUAUUGAUUUGAUGUCGAUCCGACUUAUCAUUUUUCCCUGGGGCCGCACACUAAACUCAUUCUAUCCAUGUACUCGUAUAUAGCUUACGUACUCUCGUCACCGAAUUGAAAAUAAAAGAACCGCAGCCGGUUCAUCGCGUCGCGCGUUUUAUUUCGGGAGUGCCGUUUAAGUUAUCGGACUAAAACUUUUGUAAAUAAUUAGUCCGCGCGCGAUUAUAAUAUAUUGUCGCGAGUGUUUUUCGCGAGUGUUCAACGGGAAAAGGAGGAAGAGGAGACCUGACAACCAAAAUGUCUUGAGAGAAGACAUCGGGCUUAAAUGCUGCAAUUUUUGAUAUCAUCGCAGCUACGUGAUAAAGCAGCAACUCAAUUCUGAGAGGAGAAGGAGGCCUAGGAAAGGCAUCAGGCCUCAGCGGAGCAACUUUGGGUAUCAUCGCAGCUUCGUGGCUGAAUAACUCCGCUUGUUGCGCAUCGGAUCGGUGAGUCAAAAAUCAAUUUUUUUAUUUCUGCUUUCAAUGUUGUGCAAAUUUUGUUUUAUAAAGGAUUAAGAAGAGGGACACUGAAAAAGAGUUUAGUAAUA